rnacentral:rRNA from 1 species
AACGUAGGACACAAGCGUUAUCCGGAAUUACUGGGCGUAAAGCGUGCGCAGGCGGUGAUGUAAGUCAGGUGUGAAAUCCCCGGGCUUAACCUGGGAACUGCAUUUGUGACUGCAUCGCUGGAGUGCGGCAGAGGGGGAUGGAAUUCCGCGUGUAGCAGUGAAAUGCGUAGAUAUGCGGAGGAACACCGAUGGCGAAGGCAAUCCCCUGGGCCUGCACUGACGCUCAUGCACGAAAGCGUGGGGAGCAAACAGG